rnacentral:rRNA from 1 species
CUUAUUUUUAAUUUAAUAUAAUUUCUGCUCAAUGAAAAAAUUUUAAUAGCCACUAUAGUGCUAAGGUAGCAUAAUAAUUUGUUUUUUAAUUGAAAAAUUGAAUGAAUGAAUUCACUAAAAAUGAAUUGUUUAAUUUUAUAAAAUAAAAUUUUAAUUUGAAUGAAAAUUUUCAAAUUUUUCUCUAAGGCGAUAAGACCCUAUGAACCUUUAUUUUUUUAAAUUAAUCUAAAAAAUUUAUUUGGGGUAAAUAAAAAUGAAAGUAUUUUGAACUAAACUGAUCUUAAUAAAACUAGGUGAAAAAGGUACUCUAGGGAUAACAGCGUAAUAAUUAUUAAAGCCCAUAUUAAAAUAAUUGU